rnacentral:lncRNA from 1 species
GCUUUUUAGGUUACCACAAUCAUCUUUGCUGUACACACCUUUUGAUGAGAGACACAAAUGAUUCGGAAUUUAUUAGAAUACUCUAUGCGCUUCACUUAUAUCUUUUGAGCUAUAUAGGUUUUGCUCUAGUGCUUCACUUAUAUCUUUUAGAGCACGGCGGUGGUUUUGUUUUAUAGAAACUAUUAUUCUCUCGUGCUUCACUUAUAUUAUUUUGAGAGUCUUAAACAACAUGGUAAUUUGCUUAAACUGGGAAAUUAAUCCUAAUAUCUUAGGUAUUCAAGACUAGUAAAAAACUUUCUUAUGAAUGUGCUGAAUGCUAAGAGAAGUUUGAUGCUUGAUGAUUGUUUUGAGAUAUGGAGGUAGUGAUAUUAAAGUUGUGCUAGUUGAGUAGUUGUGAAUUUGAGAAAUACUUGUGUUGAAGUUUGCAAGUCCCGUAGCAUGCACGUAUGGUAAACGUUAUGUAACAAAUUUGAAACAUGAGGUGUUCUUUGAUUGUCCUCCUUAUGAGUGGCGAUCGGGGACGAGCGAUGGUCUUUUCCUACCAAUCUAUCCCCCUAGGAGCAUGCGCGUAGUGCUUGGUUUUUGAUGACUUGUAGAUUUUUGCAAUAAGUAUGUGAGUUCUUUAUGACUAAUGUUGAGUCCACGGAUUAUACGCGCUCUUACCCUUCCAUCAUUGCUAGCCUCUUCGGUACCGUGCAUUGCCCUUUCUCACAUUGAGAGUUGGUGCAAACUUCGUCGGUGCAUCCAAACCCCGUGAUAUGAUACGCUCUUUCACACAUAAACCUCCUUAUAUCCUCCUCAAGACAGCCACCAUACCUACCUAUUAUGGCAUUUCCAUAGCCAUUCCGAGAUAUAUUGUCAUGCAACUUUCCACCGUUCCGUUUAUCAUGACACGUUCAUCAUUGUCAUAUUGCUUUGCAUGAUCAUGUGGUUGACAUCGUAUUUGUGGCAAAGCCACCGUUCAUAAUUUUUCAUACAUGUCACUCUUGAUUCAUUGCUAUCCCGGUAUACCGCCGGAGGCAUUCAUAUAGAGUCAUACUUCGUUCUAGUAUCGAGUUGUAAUCAUUGAGUUGUAAAUAAAUAGAAGUGUGAUGAUCAUCAUUCAUAGAGCAUUGUCCCAACUAAAAAAAGAGAAAGGCCAAAAAAAGAGAAGCCCCCCCCCCAAAAAAGGGGGACAAUGCUACUAUCCUUUUUCCACACUUGUGCUUCAAAGUAGCACCAUGAUCUUCAUGAUAGAGAGUCUCUUGUUUUGUCACUUUCAUAUACUAGUGGGAAUUUUUCAUUAUAGAACUUGGCUUGUAUAUUCCAACAAUGGGCUUCCUCAAAUGCCCUAGGUCUUCGUGAGCAAGCAAGUUGGAUGCACACCCACUUAGUUUCUUUUGUUGAGCUUUCAUGCAUUUAUAGCUCUAGUGCAUCCGUUGCAUGGCAAUCCCUACUCCUUGCAUUAACAUCAAUCGAUGGGCAUCUCCAUAGCUCAUUGAUUAGCAGCGUUGAUGUGAGACUUUCUCCUUUUUUGUCUUCUCCACAUAACCCCCAUCAUUAUAUUCUAUUCCACCCAUAGUGUUAUAUCCAUGGCUCACGCUCAUGUAUUGCGUGAAGGUUGAAAAAGUUUGAGAUUGCUAAAGUAUGAAACAAUUGCUUGGCUUGUCAUCGGGGUUGUGCAUGAUGAGAGCAUUCUUGUGUGACGAAAAUGGAGCAUGACUAAACUAUAUGAUUUUGUAGGGAUGAACUUUCUUUGGCCAUGUUAUUUUGAGAGGACAUAAUUGCUUAGUUAGUAUGCUUGAAGUAUUAUUACUUUUAUGUCAAUAUUAAACCUUUAUCUUGAAUCUUUCGGAUCUGAAUAUUCAUACCACAAUUAAGAGAAUUACAUUGAAAUUAUGCCAAGUAGCAUUCCACAUCAAAAAUUCUGUUUUUAUCAUUUACCUACUCGAGGACGAGCAGGAAUUAAGCUUGGGGAUGCUUGAUACGUCUCCAACGUAUCUAUAAUUUUUUAUUGUUCCAUGCUAUUUUUUAUUCUGUUUUGGACAUUAAUGGGCUUUAUUAUACACUUUUAUAUUAUUUUUGGAACUAACCUAUUAACCGGAGGCCCAGCCCAGAUUUGCUGUUUUUUGCCUAUUUCAGAGUUCGCAGAAAAAGAAUAUCAAACGGAGUCCAAACGGAAUGGAACCUUUGGAAACGUGAUUUUCGGAACGAAUGUGAUCCAGAGGACUUGGACCCUACGUCAAGACAUCAACCAGGAAGGCACGAGGUAGGGGGCGCGCCUACCCCCCUGGGCGCGCCCUCCACCCUCGUGGGCCCCAUGUUGCUCCACCGACGUACUUCUUCCUCCUAUAUAUACCUACGUACUCCCAAACUACCAGAUACGGAGCCAAAAACCUAAUUCCACCGCCGCAACCUUCUGUACCCGUGAGAUCCCAUCUUGUGGCCUUUUCCGGAGCUCCGCCAGAGGGGGCAUCGAUCACGGAGGGCUUCUACAUCAACACCAUAGCCUCUCCGAUGAUGUGUGAGUAGUUUACCUCAGACCUUCGGGUCCAUAGUUAUUAGCUAGAUGGCUUCUUCUCUCUCUUUGGAUCUCAAUACAAAGUUCUCCACGAUUCUCGUGGAGAUCUAUUCGAUGUAAUCUUCUUUUGCGGUGUGUUUGUUGAGACCGAUGAAUUGUGGGUUUAUGAUCAAGUUUAUCUAUGAACAAUAUUUCAAUCUUCUCUGAAUUCUUUUAUGUAUGAUUGGUUAUCUUUGCAAGUCUCUUCGAAUUAUCAGUUUGGUUUGGCCUACUAGAUUGAUCUUUCUUGCAAUGGGAGAAGUGCUUAGCUUUGGGUUCAAUCUUGCGGUGUCCUUUCCCAGUGACAGUAGGGACAGCAAGGCACGUAUUGUAUUGUUACCAUCGAGGAUAACAAGAUGGGGUUUAUAUCAUAUUGCAUGAUUUUAUCCCUCUACAUCAUGUCAUCUUACUUAAAGUGUUACUCUGUUCUUAUGAACUUAAUACUCUAGAUGCAUGCUAGAUAGCGGUCGAUGUGUGGAGUAAUAGUAGUAGAUGCAGGCAGGAGUCGGUCUACUUGUCUUGACGUGAUGCCUAUAUACAUGAUCAUACCUAGAUAUUCUCAUAACUAUGCUCAAUUCUGUCAAUUGCUCAACAGUAAUUCGUUCACCCACCGUACUACUUAUGCUCUCGAGAGAAGCCACUAGUGAAACCUAUGGCCCCCGGGUCUAUCUUCUAUCAUAUUAAUCUACCAACACUUAGCUAUUUUUAUUGCCUUUUAUUUCACUUUGCAUCUUUAUCAUAAAAAUACCAAAAAUAUUAUCUUAUCAUAUCUAUCAGAUCUCACUCUCGUAAAUGACCGUGAAGGGAUUGACAACCCCUUUAUUGCGUUGGUUGCGAGGAUUUAUUUGUUUGUGUAGGUGCGAGGGACUCGUGCGUGGCCUCCUACUGGAUUGAUACCUUGGUUCUAAAAAACGGAGGGAAAUACUUACGCUGCUUUACUGCAUCACCCUUUCCUCUUCAAGGGAAAACCAACGCAGUGCUCAAGAGGUGGCAAGCGACUGUUGGCCGGAAGCCGUGGUGGCAGGCGGCGGCCACUGCGGCCACAGGGGGGUGCGGCUGGGGGCGGCUUGUAACGCCCGGAUAGUUAUGCUACAGUAAUCCCAUGCUAAUGUUGCCACGUCACUGCAUUUACUGUUGUUAACCUCGUGAUGAUUCAAUCCCGUUCGUUUUCAAAAUUCAAAUUUAAAUCAAACAGCAAAAAUGAGUAAAAGAAAAGGAGAAAGCAAACAAAAAAACAAAAGAAGACCCCCGGCCCAACUGGGCCAAUCAGCCCAGCCGGCCGGCCCACACCCGCUACCCCUGGCCUAUUAGGCCACUCCCACCCGAACCCUAACGACCAGACCCCCCACUUCCCCCACGCACCCACGCUCCUCUCCUUCCCCCGAUUCGGGAUCUGGAUCGGGCCACGCCCCGACCCCGCCGCUCGCCCCGACGCUAUCGCCCGUCUCCCCGUCGCCUCCCGCACGACGCCUGCCCCCUCGACCCGAGCUGGAUCGGGGGACUCGACCCCGCUGCGCCCCGGCGCUCUCCCGUCGCCCGACAACUGCCACCGCGCGGAGCCCCACUCGCCGGACCUGAAGGAAAUAUACCCUAGAGGCAAUAAUAAAGUUAUUAUUUAUUUCCUUAUAUCAUAAUAAAUGUUUAUUAUUCAUGCUAGAAUUGUAUUAACCGGAAACAUAAUACUUGUGUGAAUACAUAGACAAACAGAGUGUCACUAGUAUGCCUCUACUUGACUAGCUCGUUGAUCAAAGAUGGUUAUGUUUCCUAGCCAUAGACAUGAGUUGUCAUUUGAUUAACGGGAUCACAUCAUUAGGAGAAUGAUGUGAUUGACUUGACCCAUUCCGUUAGCUUAGCACUCGAUCAUUUAGUAUGUUGCUAUUGCUUUCUUCAUAACUUAUACAUGUUCCUAUGACUAUGAGAUUAUGCAACUCCCGUUUACCGGAGGAACACUUUGUGUGCUACCAAACGUCACAACGUAACUGGGUGAUUAUAAAGGUGCUCUACAGGUGUCUCCAAAGGUACUUGUUGGGUUGGCGUAUUUCGAGAUUAGGAUUUGUCACUCCGAUUGUCGGAGAGGUAUCUCUGGGCCCACUCAGUAAUACAUAUCACUAUAAGCCUUGCAAGCAUUGUAACUAAUGAGUUAGUCGCGGGAUGAUGUAUUACGGAACGAGUAAAGAGACUUGCCGGUAACGAGAUUGAACUAGGUAUCGAGAUACCGACGAUCGAAUCUCGGGCAAGUAACAUACCGAUGACAAAGGGAACAACGUAUGUUGUUAUGCGGUCUGACCGACAAAGAUCUUCGUAGAAUAUGUGGGAGCCAAUAUGAGCAUCCAGGUUCCGCUAUUGGUUAUUGACCGGAGAGGUGUCUCGGUCAUGUCUACAUAGUUCUCGAACCCGUAGGGUCCGCACGCUUAACGUUACGAUGACAGUUAUAUUAUGAGUUUAUAUGUUUUGAUGUACCGAAGGUUGUUCGGAGUCCCGAAUGUGAUCACGGACAUGACGAGGAGUCUCGAAAUGGUCGAGACAUAAAGAUUGAUACAUUGGAAGCCUAUGUUUGGAUAUCGGAAGUGUUCCGGGUGAAAUCGGGAUUUUUCCGGAGUACCGGGAGGUUACCGGAACCCCCCGGUAACUUAAUGGGCCUUAGUGGGCCUAGGUGGAAGAGAGGAGAGGAGGCUAGGGCAGGGCCGCACGCCCCUCCCCCCCAGUCCGAAUAGGACAAGGAGAGGGGGGCGGCGCCCCCCUUUCCUUCCUCCCCUCCACCUCUUCCCCCUCUCUCUCCUAGUCCAACAUGGAAAAGGGGGAAGUCCUACUCCCGGUAGGAGUAGAAAUCGUCCUGGUGCGCCUCUCCCCUUGGCCGGCCGAAACCCCCCCUUGCUCCUUUAUAUACGGGGGCAGGGGGCACCUCUAGACACACAAUUGAUCAUUGAUCUCUUAGCCGUGUGCGGUGCCCCCCUCCACUAUAUUACACCUCGAUAAUAUCGUAGCGGUGCUUAGGCGAAGCCUUGCGUCGGUAGAACAUCAUCAUCGUCACCACACCAUCGUGUUGACGAAACUCUCCCUCAACACUCGGCUGGAUCGGAGUUCGAGGGACGUCAUCGAGCUGAACGUGUGCUGAACUCGGAGGUGCCGUACGUUCGGUACUUGAACGAUCGGAUCGUGAAGACGUACGACUACAUCAACCGCGUUGUGUUAACGCUUCCGCUUUCGGUCUACGAGGGUACGUGGACAACACUCUCCCCUCUCGUUCUAUGCAUCACCAUGAUCUUGCGUGUGCGUAGAAUUUUUUUGAAAUUACUACGUUCCCCAACAGUGGCAUCCGAGCCUGGUUUUAUGCGUUGAUGUUAUAUGCACGAGUAGAACACAAUUGAGUUGUGGGCGAUAUAAGUCAUACUGCUUACCAGCAUGUCAUAUUUUGGUUCACCGGUAUUGUGAGAUGAAGCGGCCCGGACCGACAUUACGCGUACGCUUACGCGAGACCGGUUUCACCAUUGCGAGCACUCGUUGCUUAAAGGUGACUGGCGGGUGUCUGUCUCUCUCACUUUAGUUGAACCGAGUGUGGCUACGCCCGGUCCUUGCGAAGGUUAAAACAGCACCAACUUGACAAACUAUCGUUGUGGUUUUGAUGCGUAGGUAAGAACGGUUCUUGCUAAGCCCGUAGCAGCCACGUAAAACUUGCAACAACAAAGUAGAGGACGUCUAACUUGUUUUUGCAGGGCAUGUUGUCAUGUGAUAUGGUCAAGACAUGAUGCUAUAUUUUAUUGUAUGAGAUGAUCAUGUUUUGUAACCGAGUUAUCGGCAACUGGCAGGAGCCAUAUGGUUGUCGCUUUAUUGUAUGCAAUGCAAUCGCCAUGUAAUUGUUUUACUUUAUCACUAAGCGGUAGCGAUAGUCGUAAAAGCAAUAGUUGGCGAGACGACAACGAUGCUACGAUGGAGAUCAAGGUGUCGCGCCGGUGACGAUGGUGAUCAUGACGGUGCUUCGGAGAUGGAAAUCACAAGCACAAGAUGAUGAUGGCCAUAUCAUAUCACUUAUAUUGAUUGCAUGUGAUGUUUAUCUUUUAUGCAUCUUAUCUUGCUUUGAUUGACGGUAGCAUUAUAAGAUGAUCUCUCACUAAAAUUUCAAGAUAAAACUGUUCUCCCUGAGUAUGCACCGUUGCCAAAGUUCGUCGUGCCCAGACACCACGUGAUGAUCGGGUGUGAUAAGCUCUACGUCCAUCUACAAUGGGUGCAAGCCAGUUUUGCACACGCAGAAUACUCAGGUUAAACUUGACGAGCCUAGCAUAUGCAGAUAUGGCCUCGGAACAUUGAGACCGAAAGGUCGAGCGUGAAUCAUAUAGUAGAUAUGAUCAACAUAGUGAUGUUCACCAUUGAAAACUACUCCAUUUCACGUGAUGAUCGGUUAUGGUUUAGUUGAUUUGGAUCACGUGAUCACUUAGAUGAUUAGAGGGAUGUCUGUCUAAGUGGGAUUUCUUAAGUAAUAUGAUUAAUAGAACUUAAAUUUAUCAUGAACUUAGUACCUGAUAGUAUCUUGCUUGUCUAUGUUAAUUGUAGAUAGAUGGCCUGUGCUGUUGUUCCGUUGAAUUUUAAUGCGUUCCUUGAGAAAGCAAAGUUGAAAGAUGAUGGUAGCAAUUACACGAACUGGGUCCGUAACUUGAGGAUUAUCCUCAUUGCUGCACAGAAGAAUUAUGUCCUGGAAGCACCGCUGGGUGCCAGGCCUGCUGCAAGAGCAACACCAGAAGUUGUGAACGUCUGGCAGAGCAAAGCUGAUGACUACUCGAUAGUUCAGUGUGCCAUGCUUUAUGGCUUAGAACCGGGUCUUCAACGACGUUUUGAACGUCAUGGAGCAUAUGAGAUGUUCCAGGAGUUGAAGUUAAUAUUUCAAGCAAAUGCCCGGAUUGAGAGAUAUGAAGUCUCCAAUAAGUUCUACAGCUGCAAGAUGGAAGAGAAUAGUUCUGUCAGUGAGCAUAUACUCAAAAUGUCUGGGUAUAACAAUCACUUGAUUCAACUGGGAGUUAAUCUUCCGGAUGAUAGCGUCAUUGAUAGAAUUCUUCAAUCACUACCACCAAGUUACAAGAGCUUCAUGAUGAACUAUAACAUGCAAGGGAUGAAUAAGACAAUUCCCGAGCUCUUCGCAAUGCUAAAGGCAGCGGAGGUAGAAAUCAAAAAGGAGCAUCAAGUGUUGAUGGUCAAUAAGACCACUAGUUUCAAGAAAAAGGGCAAAGGAAAGAAGAAGGGGAACUUCAAGAAGAACAGCAAGCAAGUUGUUGUUCAGGAGAAGAAACCCAAAUCUGGACCUAAGCCUGAGACUGAGUGCUUCUACUGCAAGCAUACUGGUCACUGGAAGCGGAACUGCCCCAAGUAUUUGGCGGAUAAGAAGGAUGGCAAGGUGAACAAAGGUAUAUGUGAUAUACAUGUUAUUGAUGUGUACCUUACCAGAGCUCGCAGUAGCACCUGGGUAUUUGAUACUGGUUCUGUUGCCAAUAUUUGCAACUCGAAACAGGGACUACGGAUUAAGCGAACACUGGCCAAGGACGAGGUAACGAUGCGCGUGGGAAACGGUUCCAAAGUCGAUGUGAUCGCCGUCAGCACGCUACCUCUACAUCUACCUUCGGGAUUAGUAUUAGACCUGAAUAAUUGUUAUUUGGUGCCAGCGUUGAGCAUGAACAUUAUAUCUGGAUCUUGUUUAAUGCGAGACGGUUAUUCAUUUAAAUCAGAGAAUAAUGGUUGUUCUAUUUAUAUGAGUAAUAUCUUUUAUGGUCAUGCACCCUUGAAGAGUGGUCUAUUUUUAAUGAAUCUCGAUAGUAGUGACACACAUAUUCAUAAUGUCGAAGCCCAAAGAUGCAGAGUUGAUAAUGAUAGUGCAACUUAUUUGUGGCACUGUCGUUUAGGUCAUAUCGGUGUAAAGCGCAUGAAGAAACUCCAUAAUGAUGGACUUUUGGAAUCACUUGAUUAUGAAUCACUUGGUACUAGCGAACCGUGUCUCAUGGGCAAGAUGACUAAAACACCGUUCUCCGGAACUAUGGAGAGAGCAACUAAUUUGUUGGAAAUCAUACAUACAGAUGUAUGUGGUCCGAUGAAUAUUGAGGCUCGUGGCGGAUAUCGUUAUUUUCUCACCUUCACAGAUGAUUUGAGCAGAUAUGGGUAUAUCUACUUAAUGAAACAUAAGUCUGAAACAUUUGAAAAGUUCAAAGAAUUUCAGAGCGAAGUUGAAAAUCAUCGUAACAAGAAAAUAAAGUUUCUACGAUUAGAUCGUGGAGGAGAAUAUUUGAGUUACGAGUUUGGUCUACAUUUGAAACAAAGCGGAAUAGUUUCGCAACUCACGCCACCCGGAACACCACAACGUAAUGGUGUGUCCGAACGUCGUAAUCGUACUUUACUAGAUAUGGUGCGAUCUAUGAUGUCUCUUACUGAUUUACCGCUAUCGUUUUGGGGUUAUGCUUUAGAGACGGCUGCAUUCACUCUAAAUAGGGCACCAUCGAAAUCCGUUGAGACGACGCCAUAUGAACUAUGGUUUGGCAAGAAACCAAAGUUGUCGUUUCUUAAAGUUUGGGGUUGCGAUGCUUAUGUGAUGAAACUUCAACCUGAUAAGCUCGAACCUAAAUCGGAGAAAUGUGUCUUCAUAGGAUACCCAAAGGAAACUGUUGGGUACACCUUCUAUCACAGAUCCGAAGGCAAGACAUUCAUUGCUAAGAAUGGAUCCUUUCUAGAGAAGGAGUUUCUCUCGAAAGAAGUGAGUGGGAGGAAAGUAGAACUUGAUGAGGUAACUGUACCUGCUCCCUUAUUGGAAAGUAGAUCAUCACAGAAACCAGUUUCUGUGACACCUACACCAAUUAGUGAGGAAGUUAAUGAUAAUGAUCAUAAAACUUCAGAUCAAGUUAUUACUGAACCUCGUAGGUCAACCAGAUUAAGAUCCGCACCAGAGUGGUACGGUAAUCCUGUUCUGGAGGUUAUGUUACUAGACCAUGACGAACCUACGAACUAUGAAGAAGCGAUGGUGAGCCCAGAUUCCGCAAAAUGGCUUGAGGCCAUGAAAUCCGAGAUGGGAUCCAUGUAUGAGAACAAAGUAUGGACUUUGGUUGACUUGCCCGAUGAUCGGCAAGCCAUUGAAAAUAAAUGGAUCUUCAAGAAGAAGACUGACGCUGACGGUAAUGUUACUGUUUAUAAAGCUCGACUUGUUGCGAAAGGUUUUCGACAAGUUCAAGGGAUUGACUAUGAUGAGACCUUCUCACCCGUAGCGAUGCUUAAGUCUGUCCGAAUCAUGUUAGCAAUUGCCGCAUUUUAUGAUUAUGAAAUUUGGCAAAUGGAUGUCAAAACUGCAUUCCUGAAUGGAUUUCUGGAAGAAGAGUUGUAUAUGAUGCAACCGGAAGGUUUUGUCGAUCCAAAGGGAGCUAACAAAGUGUGCAAGCUCCAACGAUCCAUUUAUGGACUGGUGCAAGCCUCUCGGAGUUGGAAUAAACGCUUUGAUAGUGUGAUCAAAGCAUUUAUUCCAAGUGGGUGAAAUAAGUCUCUUCGCUUGAAUUUUAGAACUUAGAAUUUAUUACCCUAGAAAAAAAAAAGAAAAACCUAAUCCUUUGAAUCUUUGGUAUCCUUCAAAUCUUCGCUAUACUUCGAGUCUUCGAUACGCUUCGAAUCCUUAUGGGGAAGUCUAUAAAUUAUACGUCCCUUGCUUGAAUCAUAAUGACUUACUUCAAUUUUGACCCUAUCCCCCAUCAGUAUUCGUAUAGAACUAGACCGUAUCUUUCCUGAAAUAUAGCCUAGGAUGAUGGUGUCAUUCUCUAGCCGAACGCGGAACAUUCCAUUGGGUAGGGAUUCCAUAACUAAACCUUCGAAAGUUACUUUUGCUUCUCUCGGGUUUUUUUUCUCUCCUAUUUUUUUCUGUCAUAUUUUUUUCUCCUAUUUUUCUAUUUUUAUUUUAAAAAUAGGAAGGGCGAGAUAGAAUUCGAGCACUAUAGGCGGGGCGAUUACCAUAUAUAACAUAAGACUUCUCCCCCAAUUCUGUUUAGUCGAGCUUCUCGAUCUGUCAUUAUUCCUCGAGAAGUAGAAAGAAUAGCAAUUCCCAUUCCACCCAAAACUUUAGGAAUUCCUUGAUAGUUGGUAUAAAUUCGUAAGCCGGGUCGGCUGAUACGCUUUAAAAAAGGUUCUUGUUCUAUAUAUUCCUUUUCUAGUCUUUCUCUUUUGAUGUCGCAAAGUUGAAACCAAGAAAUAUCUGUUACGUUCCUGAUGUUUCCGAACACUUUCAAUAAAACCCUCUCGUAGAAGUAUUUUAACAAUGUUUUCGGUAAUAUUUGUAGAUACUACUCGAACUGUUCAUUUUUUAUUCAUGUCCGCAUUUCUUAUAGAGGUUAGUAAAUCAGCAAUAGUGUCCUUGCCCAUAAGACUCUAAUUCUAGGUUCCUCCUAAUUUUUCUAUAAUCAACAUGUUUUUUCAUUUUGGAUUUUAAAACAUAUACGUAAAACACAAUCUACUAAAUUAAUUCUUUGGUCUCAAUUUCGCCU